CAGGAAGAGGUCAAAAACACAGCAGCUACACAGAUACUCAGCAGGGAAGCGAUAACCCUGAUUUUUCUCAACUUGCAAACCAUCUUGGCAGCGUUGUUGAAGAACAGAUCCAAUCUGUGGAUACAGUGAAUGGUGAAAUACACAGGUGAGUUGAUAUAUGAAUGUGGGAAAUCCAUCAAGUUUACAGCAAAACAAAAGAAAUUAAAACACCAGGCUGGAGAAAGGGAUGAAAAA